rnacentral:rRNA from 1 species
UACGUAAGGGGCUAGCGUUGUCCGGAAUCAUUGGGCGUAAAGAGCGUGUAGGCGGCCUGACAGGUCUGCUGUGAAAACUCGAGGCUCAACCUCGAGAUGUCGGCGGAAACCGUCUGGCUAGAGCCCGGAAGAGGAGAGUGGAAUUCCUGGUGUAGCGGUGAAAUGCGCAGAUAUCAGGAAGAACACCUAUGGCGAAGGCAGCUCUCUGGGACGGUACUGACGCUGAGACGCGAAAGCGUGGGGAGCGAACAGG